CUGGCAUACAAGGCAGUCGAUGGAACUGCCCCUGCCUACCUCCAAGCAUUGCUAAAGCCACACACCCCAGCUCGAUCCCUCCGCUCAACUACCUCAGCUGGUGUGGUAGAAAUUGCUGAUUAUAUUCUAUGGUAAACUGUGAUUAUUAUGAGGUCUUUAUGUCUAAUAGUGGAAAACACACGGUGCCUGGGGGUCUGGGUUUAGAACAGAUGGACCCCCCCUAAAAGGAGCAGGGCUAUCUUUGCUGACCAUUUGUUGUCUAUUUUCUGACCAUUCAGGUUAAAAUGGAUUUAUGACUGAAUGGAGGCAGACACCUCAAGGAGAAGCUGCUCUGUUUGUGUGUAUAAAAAGACGCCGCAGUUUGUGAACGACAGUGACUCUGCAGACCCACUCAGGCUGUUGUCGUUGUCGUUUUUCUUCACGAUAAAGUCUUUUUCAAUUCUUGCUCCGGACCCCUCGAUUUCUUUUACACUCUCUCUUAAAUUAGUCUAAGUGUUUUAAAUCUCGAUUAAUCUCCGACAUAAUUGGCGUCGCGACCAGGAGGAAAUAGGGACUCGCCAGCUGCCGGGCCAGAGGACGGGACGCGAACGGAUCAUACGACCAGAGCUCAAGGGUAAGUUGUCUUGCCAUAUAUAGGAUAGAGUCGUUUGAUCUGUUCUUGCCCCGUCUGAACGCCGAGCAGCAGGUCAAGUGUCUCUUCGAUCAAACGAACCAAAAUUAUAGAUAAAUGAGCGAGUGAGAGAUACGGGGGGCUCCGGGAGAGAUUGACGUGCGCGCGCACAUUGGCCAUUCGCGCUCUGUGGUUCUAAAUGACCAAGACGCUGUGUGGCUCCCUAUUUUUGAUACGAGUUGUUGUCAUUUGGAGUUUUGAGGUUUUGGUCAAAUAGACCUAUUAUAAAGUCCUGUGGCUGUAUUCUAGAGGAUCGAAUUAGUGGAAAAGUUCCAAUAGGACAGUACAGGUCCACAGGUCGAUUGAAGUACCUGUUGGAUGUUUGAGAGUAUCACAGAGAGUUGAGUUGGAAUUCAUUGCCGUCGAUGAAUUCAUUUUUAUUUUAGAGGUUUGCUUGGGAUGUCGACUGGUGAAUUUUUAGUUCCGAUGUUGGCAUUUUUGAGAAAGCAGACUCUCGCACUUUAGAAUAGAUAAGGUUCUUGGUUGGGGUACCGUUUGAGUUGGUAUUUUGAGAAGUUUCUUGUCUGUUUUUGAUCUGGUCGAGUGUUUAUGUAUUCAGCCAUUGUUUUGGAAGAAUAGGCUUGUUGUUUGGAGUACCAUCCGACCGUUCAUAUUUUAAUCAAAAGGCCAGUUUCUAUGCUCGGUCAACUUUUUAUUUGUAAUUAAUUACAAACAAUUCGGACAUUUUUCAAUAUAAGAUAAAGAAAUUGUAUGAACCGGCUUAUUGUCUGUAUUUAAGUCGUGUUAGGAUUAAGUUACCUCGGAGGUUUUUACGACCCGGUUCAUUUUUUUGUUUUUGAUUCUGUCAUAAAUAAAUUAGGCGGACAGAGAAUAGUUAAUUUGUUUAAAGUAGUUGAUAAUCAUAAAUAAAUUAGACGGAUAGAGAAUAGUUAAUUUGUUGAAGUACUGAAUAAAUGUGUAAAUCUUCUUUGACAUCGUCGCGCUGACUCUAACUGCACGUGCACGAGCAAACACACAGGGGACGAGCAGGAGCCUGCAGGCCGGGGUUAAAGAUAACAGUGAAGGGUGGGGGCCACAUUCCAAUCUUCGGGAGGGAGACGAGCGCUUGAGAAAAGUUCACAUUUGUAGCUUAGAGAUAGUAAAGUAUAGAAAAUAACUAGCAGAAUAAACUCAGAUAAAUUGUAUUAAUGAAUAGUGUACUUCAGAAUAGAUAAAUAAAGUAAUAAAGUAAUAAUUAAAAAUGGCACCAACAGCGGUAGAGAUUUUGAGUAGAGACCGUCUAUUGCUCAAAGGUGAGAUGAAAAAGAUCUCUGAGAAUUGGGAAGAAAGGACAGAAGCAGCAGGUACUAUAUGGCCCAUGGGAGGGACUUUUGAUCCAAUAAUGUAUCGGGACAUGGAGGUAGUGAUAAGGAACUACAUAGAUAACAGAAGUGGAAAAACGGCCUCAGCAAAGAGGGACAGGGAAAAGUUAGUACUAGCUUUGUUCUUAGAGGAAGGAGAGAGAUGGCGAACAUUAAAGAGAGUUAGAGAGAAGGAACAAAAAACGUAGAACCACCACUGGGAUGGGUGAUUCUGUGGUUCUUGGAGACUCGCCAACGCGUCGGAACACCAUAUGGUAUAUAUCAUUACAUCUUGGUACACAGAGCACUGGUGAGACAACGGGUUGGAUCGGAGAGAGAAGGUGUUUGGAGAAGGGAGAGGAAUGUAAUGACAGCAAAAAGGACGGACACGGACCGACCCGGAGGUAAUAAAUCAGCGGAGAGGUGGCUGGGGUCGGUUUAGCUCAGGAAGUAGAAGGUGUCUUGUAACCGAAGGGUUGCUGGUUCGAUCCCCAUCUCUCCUAGCUGAGUGUUGAUGUGUCCCUGAGCAAGGUACAUGGUGAUUACAGGAUUUAGGAAUAAUUAUUUAGACUCCAAAACAUGAGCAAUUAGCGUUAAAAAAAUUGUCUGCACACCACACUCCACAGGAGUCAAUGGGUUCAAUGGCGCCAGGGUAAAGUGACUCAUCAAAGGAGGAGCAGACCCAACCCAUGGACUCUGCGUGGAUAGGUGGAUGUUAUUUUGGUGCUUGGGCCUGACGAGGUCUAGGUGCCAAGAUAACAACACAAAUAAAAUAUUUCCUUCGAGAUUAUGAUAAGUAAUAGACAAUUUAAUAAAAGUGAUCUUAUAAUUUAGAAAAAACUAUCGGCAAUACUUAAAAAUUAGACCAAAUAAGUAUGAUAAAACAUUAUCCAAAUUUCUAAUUCAGGUUAUCCACAAUGACGAAUGUCAUUUAAAAUAAAUAAGUAAAAUAGAAUAAGAAAGGGUGUGUGUGAGCCUGUUCUCGUGUGUGUGUCAGGGCUGCCGAGGUAGGGGAGAAUCCUCUCCUACUCCGAGUGAUGGAGUACACAAGGGGAUACACAAGCAUACUUCAGAUAAAACAAUAUGGUUAAUUAGUAAAUAGAAACAAUGUAUCAAUUCAGUGUUGAAUAAACUAGUUAAGAUCAACAUAGAGGGUUUGGGUUUGGUAUAGUAGUGAAUCAGAAUAUGGAAAACACUAAAUGCAAGCAAUAGGUAGAAUAAAAGGUUUAAUUAGGUCGUCCAAUUUAAAUAGAUAGUGAAGGGCAAUCGGGUAGGAUUAUAAAGAGAAUUGUGAUUUUGAGUAACGGUUAAGACAAAAGUGAGUCGCCCAAUAUUGAAGAUGCAAGUUUUAAUAUUGUGAUUUUUGUUUUCUUUCACAUCUCCCUAGUUAAGGACAAUAGGUGGAUUGAUGCCACAUCUGCUGGGAAGGAGUCAUACAUGCUAUGUUGUCAAAUUGGAUUCGGAAGUAGUGGGUUUGCCUUCAAAUGCCACUAAUGCUGCUGCAACACUUUAAUAAUUUUAACUCUGAUAAAUUAUAUUUUGUUUUAUAGUCGCCCUGAUGUGUAUUCAUGACGCACACAUAUGGCUGCAUAAGGCAGAUGCGGCUGAAGACUCUGUCUCCAUCCCUCCACUUUGCGAUCUAUACCACCAUAUAGGUGGGGAUUGAUCGUAUCCCAGGUACGGCAUCCUGCAAUAAGCCAGUAUGGAAGGCUGGUUAGCCAACGACGGGUAAGAUCCCACCUUGAAGCCCGGGACAACCUAAAGCAGGCACAGUCACGAUUACUUGGCAGAGUCACUGUGAGCACUGGCUCACUUGAUCAUGGAGUGACGGACUGCAACCAUCAUAGGAAAAGCCGGCUGAUGAAAGGUGGAGGGGGAACAGGAGUCAGAUAUGUCAGCUCUGGCAGCAGAGGUGGUCUUGAAACGGGGCAUUUCGCGAUUUAUUUAAUUUAAUUUUACCUUUGUGGUAUAGAAGGCCACUAACGCAUGUACAUUUAUUCGGUUUAGUGCAUGACUUUGGAACAGCGUGGUUUCGGGCGGCUGAUGGUAAACCCACCCAUAUUGGGCUUAGGAUUUGGACAUACUGGGUUCGAUUUCCCUUCCCAGAAGAUUGGUUUCAGUUUGCUGAUGCUUAGGUUAGACGUUUCGACGUUGGGUGCACCAACGGCGUUAUUAGAUUUGUUUAUCAUUUAAUGCGCAUGGUUUUGACCAUUGCGCAAGGGGGGAGGUAUUGAGGAGAAUUAGGAAAAAAUUAGAAAAAAAAAGGUUUUUCUUCACCAUACUUGCAAACAAUGAUUGACAUCCAACUAAAUGAGUGUGAAAUAUUUGAAAAAACAGUGUUCAACAGAUGGGUAGAAGCAGUCCCAUCAGAAGACCAAAGUGCGGCUACGGUAAUCAAGUUCCUGACUAGAGAAGUCAUGCCAAGGUUUGGAAUUCCGUCACAAAUUAGCUCAGGCAAUAGGGCAGCAUUUAUUCAGAAAACACUCAAACAAGUGAUUUAACAUCUGCAUGUCAAAUAAAGACUAGUCCGUGUCUACAUUCCUCAAACCACAAGGUAUGGUGGAGAGAGGAAUGGGACGCUUAAGACAAAGAUUAACAAAAUUAAAUUAGAGUACUAAAUUGGAGGACUAAUGCACUACGACUGACACUAAUGAGUUAUCGCAUGAAAAACUAACAGAACGACGCAUCUAACCCCGCAUGAAAUGUUUACGGGUCGACCCAUGCCUUCACCUGUCAUUCGAGGGCCUUAUAAAAGACCUCCAUUGGAACAAUUGGAAACUGAAUUAAGACGUUAUAUGGGACAACUAACUGGCAUACACAGGCUUAUUUUUCAACAAGAGAAAGACAGAGUUCCAGAGUUGGAGAAGGAGCCACCAAGGGGGGUGGAGCCAGGUGACCAAGUGUAUCUCAGGAUGUUCAGGAGAAAGUGGAACUAGCCCAGGAGAGAAGGACCAUACAAAGUCACCAACGCAACACCAACAGCCAUCCAAGUGGAAGGAAGUGCCACGUGGUAUCAUCUCAACCACUGCACAAAAGCCGCUCAACCUAAAGCCAGGGAUGAGUGUGAGGAGGAGCCGGAGCCGGACGCAGACACACCUGGGGCUGACCAGCUGCCCCAGGGCCAGAUCAAGUCGAGCCAAGAGAUACAACAGCAUGAUGAUGCUGAAAACGGGGAGCCUGUUUCUGAUCCUUUACGGGUUGUGCCAGAUUUCGCUGGCACAAGCACAGACCCCGAGGAAGGAUGAAACAACGGGGACAACACAAACCUGGAAGGGCCAGGAAUUAGGGGGUGGUAGGCCUACUGAAGAAAGCCAGAGAGGAACACAGGAUAAUCCGGCCCAAAAUCAUUCAGGACUGGUUGACAACAAAGGGAAAAUAGUCUUGUAUGCUCAGAUACCACCGCAAGACCAAGUCAAUGACUUUGUGUUUACUGUUAUGUCGGAUGACGAACACCUAUGUGCAUUAACCCUCCGCCAGAAAUAUGAACAUGCACAUAGGAAAGAUCGGUGUAAAUUACAUAUCCAAUUUGAUUCAAUGAAAUGGUGCCUAAUAGUAACGUCAGGAAGAACAUGGGACUACAACGGAAAGUAUCAAUUGAACGUGAGAGAAUUCAUAUUUUUUAAAGCAGUGUCAGACAGAACGUUUAAUUUUACAUUAGAAGCAGAAGAUCCUUGUGUAAUCAAAAAUCAACCGGGUAAGGUAGUUGAGAUUGAUCAAAGCAAUCCACUAAAAUCUUCAGAUAAUGAUAAAAUAAAUAUAACCACUGCCACCGAUAAAGUAGAUCAACCUCCGGUUAGAGAUAAUGGGAUAAAUUCGUUGGUAACCACUAAGAGUUUAAAUUCAACUCUAGAUGCAAGUAAGACUAAUGAAACUUCUAUUAGAGAGGAUACAACAAUAUUAGCAAUCACUAAUGUAACUUAUAUUGGAGAGGCAACCACUAACGUAACUCCAAUUAGAGAAAUAACAACAGUCAUGGCUGAUCUAAUAAUAAAACUAACAACGAAUGGUACAGCAGCGACUGCUCAGGGUGAAAUAAUACAGACAACAGUACUAUCAAAAGAAGAGAUGGCCCUCAUGGUGACUGGCAUAGAGGAGUGGGGGAGGAUGCUCUAUGGGGAGAUAGAUUGGAGUGAAACUAGAGAGGAGACCGGACUGUGAGAAUCGGACAUCAGAAGGAGGUCCUAUUUUCUUAACUGGUGACCUCACCAUGUGAACCACAACCAUUUCGGACAGUUUGAACAAAUGGACAUUGGACUAAUGGGUUUCAGGGCUGGUGGCUGCAAACAGGAGCAACAACCACAAUGCCCUAACCCCCCACGUUUAUAUAGUAUACCGGUACAUGACAAUAAUCAGAGCUAUCCAAAUCUAUGCAAGCUUGUUGACAAUCUUAGUUUUUAUUUCUUCUAUUGUUUACUUAUUUUUUGAAAUGUCAUUUUUUGAGUUUCAUAUUUUUAUGCCAUAUAUUCUGAAAUGCUAAUUUUCAAUGCAUGCUGAAAAUACUAUGUUAUGUGUGAAUUCUAGUUUGUAAUCUACAUUUGAUAGAUCUUUUUGCCUUAAACAGGUUUAAAAUCCUGAGAAUAUGCAGGUUGAGAUUCCUGAACAUGCUUAAAGGUUUUUAAUGAUGAUCAAAUGUAGUGCAAAAUAUAGCCUAAACGACUGUUAUGUUUUUGUUGUGAUCUUGGCAGUCACAAAAGGGGGGAUGUGUGGUAGAAAUGGCUGAUUAUAUUCUAUGGUAAACUGUGAUUAUUAUGAGGUCUUUAUGUCUAAUAGUGGAAAACACACGGUGCCUGGGGGUCUGGGUUUAGAACAGAUGGACCCCCCCUAAAAGGAGCAGGGCUAUCUUUGCUGACCAUUUGUUGUCUAUUUUCUGACCAUUCAGGUUAAAAUGGAUUUAUGACUGAAUGGAGGCAGACACCUCAAGGAGAAGCUGCUCUGUUUGUGUGUAUAAAAAGACGCCGCAGUUUGUGAACGACAGUGACUCUGCAGACCCACUCAGGCUGUUGUCGUUGUUGUUUUUCUUCACGAUAAAGUCUUUUUCAAUUCUUGCUCAGGACCCCUCGAUUUCUUUUACACUCUCUCUUAAAUUAGUCUAAGUGUUUUAAAUCUCGAUUAAUCUCCGACACUGGACUUCUGGAACCGCCAUCGCUAAGAGCUAGCAAAGGCCGUUCACUAAAGUCACAACUUUUCUCGGUUUUGGGACCUCAGUGGUGGAACGAGCUUCCUGCCGCUCUCAGGACCGCAGAGUCGCUGACUAUCUUCCGAAAAAGACUCAAGACUCACCUGUUCAGAGUCCACCUCGACUCUGCAUAGCCUCCUUCCCACUUCUGACCACCAUUGUACACUGUAUUGUAUUGUAUUGUAUUGUAUUGUAUUGUAUUGUAUUGUAUUGUAGUACUUAACUGUGUAGCAACUGCAGUAGCUGCUAUCAUGGCUGUAACACGGGGAAUUGAUUGACCUAGCGAUUGUGGUACUUGCACUUGGUUCUAUGAACAUCCUUUCUGUACCGACAGCGAUAUAUUGAUGCACUUCUUAUGACAAAUGUACUUAUUGUAAGUCGCUUUGGAUAAAAGCGUCUGCUAAAUGCCCUAAAUGUAAAUGUAAAUGUACAUAUAAACUACAAUACUGGACAUAAUAAAUAGAAUGAAAUUACAAUUAAAAUAAAAUAAAUAUAUAGUUAUAGUUGUAUUGUAUAAAUAGAUGCAGCAUAAACAGAGUGUGUGAAAUGUAAUUGUUAACAGCGGUUUUAUACGGAUGUUGAUUGUUAUAAAGUGUCAACUUGAGUCAACUUGAGAGACUGUCCCUGAGUCUGGGGGGUUCGAGACCAGAUGCUGCGGUAGCGUCUACCAGACGGGAGCAGCUGAAACAGUUUAUUACCGGGGUGAUGAGGGUCUUUAAUAAUCCGGUUAGUCAUCUUCCUGGAGCGCUGAGUGUAGAGGUCCUCCAUGGAUUGGAGCUCCGUCCUGGUGAUGGGCUGGGCAGCUUUCACCACCCUCUGUAAGGGCUUACGGCUGAGGGCGGAGCAACUGCCGUACCAGGCGUAGAUGCAGCCGGUCAGGAUACUCUCUGUGGUGCACCUGUAGUAGUUGAGUAUCCUGGUGUCCUUGUUGAACCUCCUCAGCCUGCGGAGGAUGAAGAGCUGCUGUCUUGUCAUCUUUGUGAUGGCGUCGGUGUGGUGAGUCCAGGUCAGGUCCUCGCUGAUGUGGACCCCGAGGAACGUGAAGCUGCUGACCCACUCUACUGUCGUCCCGUUGAUGGUGAUGGGGGGCGUUCCCGGCUCCCUGUCGCUUCCUGUAGUCCACAAUCAGGUCCUUGGUUUUUCUGAGGUUGAGAUGGAGGUUGUUGUUCUGGCACCAAGAUGUCAGGGUACUGACCUCUUCUCUGUACGCCGUCUCGUCUUCAUCGGUGAUCAGGCCGAUGACGGUUGUGUCGUCACUCAGCAAACUUGACGAUGGUGUUGGAGCUGUGUGUGGCCACGCAGUCAUGGAUGAAUAGGGAGUAGAGGAGAGGGCUGAGCACGCAGCCCUGGGGUGCGCCGGUGAUCAGGGUUCAAGGGGAGGAUGUGGCGUUUCCUAUCCGCACUGCCUGGGGUCUGCCCUUCAGGAAUCUCAGGAUCCAGUCGCAAAGGGCGGUGUUGAGACCGAGGUCCUGGAGCUCCACAGCGAGCUUGGAGGGCACAAUGGUGUUGAAUGUUGAACUGUAGUCAAUGAACAGCAUUCUCACAUAUGUGUUCCUCUGGUCCAGGUGAGAGAGGGCAGUGUGGAGGGUGAGGGUGAGGGCGAUGGCGUCGUCUGUGGACCUGUAUGCAAACUGUAGGGGGUCCAGUGAGUUGAGUUGUACUAAUCAUGUCAUGCUGCAGUGAAUAUUAAAAAGUGUAAUGACUGUUAGAGUUGUUGUUAGAGCUGUAGACGAAAUGAGCUGUACAUUACUCAAAUGUUAUUUCAACUUGUAGGCCUAUAGCUGAAAAGUAAUUUAGUAUAGUAAUUGAGGUAGUAUUAAG
ensembl:lncRNA